GAUGAAUGAUGGAAAAGAGAGCUAUUAUUGUUGUAUUACCUUUCGGAUUGAUUAUUAAUGUUGUUAGGUUGGUUGUUGUUGUUGUUGUUGUUGAUUGAUACGGCCGAGUUAAAUUCUCGGGGUAGCCUAUUUACAGGGGAAAUGCUGCCCAAAUUUCUGUAGAAUUAAGGGCGAAAUUGGAAUUUAAUGCCCAAAAAGUCUUUAGCUAAUGUUUGGCAUUUUAUGGCUUGUUUAUAGAUCGUGGGCAGCCCGAAUCAUAGGUUGGAUUUAGCUUGAGUUUGGAUCGUAUUGGAGAGCGUUUGAGGUACAGACGCACAGCUUGGUGAUCCACCUGUUUAGGACACCCCCUUCUGCUAUUCGGAGUGCUCCUCUCAUCCCGGAGCUUAUAUUUUUGUGAUGCCUCCGAAAAAGGCGACGGCCGCCCAGAAGAAAAAGGGCGUAGUAGGAGAGACCAGCCGGGCUCAGAAGGGUACUCGGACCCUUGCUCAGAUGAUGCGUGAUAUUACGUCCCGGCCAGCCGACUCUGCUACGUCUUCAUCGUCAGAGGAGUCUGGAGCAGCUUCACCAUUAGCUCCAGGGGCUUCAGCUCCCGCGCCUCCAGCUCCUCAGCAAGGGGCGGAGGACAGGACACUGAGAGAGGCUGUGCAGUUAUUGACCACUCUGGUAGCGGGACAGGCUCGCAGACGCGGGCGGAGAGAUGAUGAUGAUGACGAUAGGCGUGACAGCCUGAGGGUUCGAGAGUUUCUAUUAUGUGGCCCUCCAGAGUUUUACGGGUCUAAGCCCGACGAGGACCCCCAUGACUUUAUUCGGGGGAUGCGGCGCUCACUAGAUUUGGUCAGGGCUUCAGAGACUGAGUCUGUUGAGUUGGCUUCGC